UGGUAGUGACUUCCCAAGUGAUGUUACAUUCUAAAUUCAUCACUGGAAAGGCAAUAUCAUU
rnacentral:pre_miRNA from 1 species